rnacentral:rRNA from 1 species
CCCUUAGAUGUUCUGGGCCGCACACGCGCUACACUGAAGGAGGCAGCGUGUACUCCUGGAUCGAAAGAUUUGGGUAACCCGCGAAUCUCCUUCGUGCUAGGGAUUGAGGUUUGCAAUUAUCCUUCAUGAACGAGGAAUUCCCAGUAAGUGCAAGUCAUAAGCUUGCGCUGACUACGUCCCUGCCCUUUGUACACACCGCCCGUCGCUACUACCGAUUGAAUGAUUUAGUGAGGACUUCGGACUGAGUCCAAUGCGGCUUUCGGGCUGCGUUGGUAUUUCGGAAAGAUGUCCAAACUGUNUNAUUUAGNGGAAGUAAAANUCGUANCA